CCUACGGGUGGCAGCAGUGGGGAAUAUUGGUCAAUGGGGGAAACCCUGAACCAGCAACGCCGCGUGGAGGAUGAAGGCUUUAGGUGUGUAAAACUCUUUUGUGAGAGAAGAAAAUGACGGUACCUCACUAAUAAGCACCGGCUAACUCCGUGCCAGCAGCCGCGGUAAUACGUAGGGUGCAAGCGUUAUCCGGAUUUACUGGGUGUAAAGGGUGCGUAGGCGGGGUAGUAAGUCUGAUGUGAAAGCCUGUGGCUUAACCACAGAACUGCAUUUGAAACUGUUAGUCUGGAGUAUAGGAGAGGUAGGUGGAAUUCUUGGUGUAGCGGUAAAAUGCGUAGAUAUCAAGAGGAAUACUCAUUGCGAAGGCGGCCUACUGGAACGUUACUGACGCUGAUGCUCGAAAGCGUGGGGAGCAAACAGGAUUAGAUACCCGAGUAGUC
rnacentral:rRNA from 1 species